rnacentral:tRNA from 1 species
GGACUCGUAGUGUAAGGGAUAUCACAUAGGCCUCCGGAGCCUAUAAUCCGGGUUCAAUUCCCGGCGAGUCCG